UACGAAGGGGGCGAGCGUUGUUCGGAUUUACUGGGCGUAAAGGGCGCGCAGGCGGCGGACCAAGUCAGGCGUGAAAGCCCCGGGCUUAACCUGGGAGGUGCGUCUGGGACUGGUAUGCUAGAGUUCGGGAGAGGAGAGUGGAAUUCCACGUGUAGCGGUGAAAUGCGUAGAGAUGUGGAGGAACACCGAUGGCGAAGGCAGCCUUCUGGGCCAACACUGACGCUCAUGCACGAAAGCGUGGGGAGCAAACAGG
rnacentral:rRNA from 1 species